CGGGUUCCUGAAUGAUGAGAAGCCACACCUGUGGAGCUGCAUGAGGACAUGCACCCAAGUAGCCUCAACCACAUCUGGACCUGAGACAGGAAGAAAAUAAGGCUCUGAAAACCGAAGUAACUGCUGAAAUACACAGAGCGAGUGAGGAGCGAAAUCUCAGCCCAGGAGAAACUGUAUCUUACUACUUAUUCAGCCAUAGAGCACCCACUGGUCAGAUACUGAUUCUUCAUUAAGUGUCAGCUCUGGGCCUGGUUGCUGGAGGAUGGGUUGGUGAUACAAAGAUGAAUAAGACUCAGCUGAGGAAUUGAAUCUCCAGAUUACGCCUGGUGGGAUACAGUACAUGUGUUUAAAUAUAAAGUAAUCU
rnacentral:lncRNA from 1 species